rnacentral:rRNA from 1 species
GCCUAACACAUGCAAGUCGAACGAGAAAGUGGAGCAAUCCAUGAGUAAAGUGGCGCACGGGUGAGUAACACGUGACUAACCUACCCUGGAGUGGGGGAUAACUGAGGGAAACCUUAGCUAAUACCGCAUAACACCUACGGGUCAAAGGAGCAAUUCGCUUCAGGAGGGGGUCGCGGCCGAUUAGUUAGUUGGCAGGGUAACGGCCUACCAAGACGAUGAUCGGUAUCCGGCCUGAGAGGGCGCACGGACACACUGGAACUGAAACACGGUCCAGACUCCUACGGGAGGCAGCAGUGGGGAAUUUUGCGCAAUGGGGGAAACCCUGACGCAGCAACGCCGCGUGGAGGAUGAAGUCCUUCGGGACGUAAACUCCUUUCGAUCGGGACGAUUAUGACGGUACCGGAAGAAGAAGCCCCGGCUAACUUCGUGCCAGCAGCCGCGGUAAUACGAGGGGGGCGAGCGUUGUUCGGAAUUAUUGGGCGUAAAGGGUGCGUAGGCGGUUUGGUAAGUCUGAUGUGAAAUCUAUGGGCUCAACUCAUAGUCUGCAUCGGAAACUGCCGGGCUUGAGUGUGGGAGAGGUGAGUGGAAUUCCUGGUGUAGCGGUGAAAUGCGUAGAUAUCAGGAGGAACACCUGUGGCGAAAGCGGCUCACUGGACCAUAACUGACGCUGAUGCACGAAAGCUAGGGGAGCAAACAGGAUUAGAUACCCUGGUAGUCCUAGCCCUAAACGAUGACUGCUUGGUGUGACGGGUACCCAAUCCCGCCGUGCCGUAGCUAACGCGUUAAGCAGUCCGCCUGGGGAGUACGGUCGCAAGGCUGAAACUCAAAGGAAUUGACGGGGGGCCCGCACAAGCGGUGGAGCAUGUGGUUUAAUUCGACGCAACGCGAAGAACCUUACCUGGGCUCGAAAU